GACGGAGGAUGCAAGUGUUAUCCGGAAUCACUGGGCGUAAAGCGUCUGUAGGUGGUUUAAUAAGUCAACUGUUAAAUCUUGAGGCUCAACCUCAAAAUCGCAGUCGAAACUAUUAGGCUAGAGUAUAGUAGGGGUAAAGGGAAUUUCCAGUGGAGCGGUGAAAUGCGUAGAGAUUGGAAAGAACACCGAUGGCGAAGGCAGCUCGUUACACGAAUAUUGACUCUGAGGCACGAAAGCGUGGGGAUCAAACAGG
rnacentral:rRNA from 1 species